GCGAAGAUGGGCAUAAAACCAUCCCGGGAAAUAAAAGAUUCAUUCAAUCAUUGGUGCUAUUUCCUAAUUAUUGGCCAUAUUUAUGCCACAGAUCAGGGUUGCAGGUACUUGAUGGCUACUUAGUGAUCACAAAUUACAGUCAGCACAGUUACAGAGCCUCCUGUUUUUUCCAUAAUAAGGUGCUGGAUUCUUCCUUCAGAGAACCAACAAGAUGACUAGUCAUCAACAUCCCGCGCCUUUGCACUUGUUUGGAAGAAAUAAGGAAAAAUAACUUCUUUAUGCUAUUGUUAAUGUAUACAUGUAGCUGUUUGUAUUGUUACAAAGUUUUGAGCCAAUCAAUGAAAGAAUAGUACAUUUGCAAAUACCCAAAUAACCUAGAACAGGAAUCAUAUAUCCUAUAAUUUAUGCAAUGUAUCAUUACGAUUGUACUGCAGACAUUUACGCUGGCAUGUAAAUGAUUUAGUACAAUCCUCACAUUUAUUCAUGUUUCUUCCUCUCUGUAGCAGUAAUAAAUGUACAUGUAUACAA